UGUUAAGUGAAAUGAUAUAGUGAGGGCGGCACGUUAUGGGACGAAGUCCGAAAAGAACACGUACUACUGGGUGGAUGGAGAGAUCGACCCUUUGUCAACAGGCAACUGGGUUUGCUCCAGAGAGUUAUCUCGGUUAAGUCUCAGUGCAGCAAUGAGCUUGGUAUAAGAAGACUCCUGCACCCACACAGAGCCCCUACUGAAGUGAAGAACUUACAGUCAAAUCAUGGGAGCUCCAAUAAGGUGGAUCACAUGGUUGUAAACUGAUGCAACAUAUUAAUUUGCUCCUAUUUGCUAUCUGGAAUAUAGUCUGCAAAAGAAUAAAAGGCAAAAUUCCUGUUGUACCCAUCCCCGCCUCCCAGUUUUCAUACAUUUAAUGGAGGAAAUUGUUCUACAAGAUAAAAACAACUUCAGUUUAGCGUGCCUUGAUACAUUACAACUGGUACAGCUAGUCUAAAUCCAACACUACUAUAAGUACACAUGUUGCAAUGUGUUUUUGGAAGAGCAAACUUCAGAAAACCUACAGUUAUGUCUUGCAAAAGCAUUGUAUAUUUCAUAUGUUUCUGUGAUUGCACGCAGGUUACAGCAGUGCACCCCCUUAUAGUAGCUAGCACCCCAGGUAAGCCCAGCUUCACUUCCUUUCACCCAGCUUAUAAACAAGUCCAGACAGACCCUUUUAAUCAAACACCCAUUUUCCAAGGGUCUCAUUUAUUAACUAGAGCCAUAAACAUAAAGUGGAUCUUACUCAGCUACACCCAGGGAUGUUCAUUAACUCUGGCUUAAUCCAACAUGCAGUCCCUAGCUCCUUCCUUCCAGAGACUCUUCUUUCCUGUGCCUAUAAAGAGUCUCUAUUUCUGCAACCUUCUCAGUUCCUUCUGUGGGUUAUGCCUUUCAGUCUGCCCUUAGGCAGGAAUCACCAGCUCUCCUGUCUGGAACUGGGAUGUAGUAUUAGUUAGUCCCCUCACUGUCUCCUUAAACAGGAGUCUCUUCAACUCUCUGCUCUGAUGCUGUUUAUCAGAUUUCAUGGUCCUCCUUAGGGAGCCAUCACCUCUCCUCUCUGAAGCUGAGUUAUGUUUUAGCCAGCAAGUAAGGCCUUUGCCAGGUUCUCCCUCAGCUGGCCCCUUUUCCUUUAUGAGACUUCAGGCUGCCUAGCAGCUUAGCCUUUCCCUGCUGGUGUCUACUCUGCUCUGAGAGAGGAGGUAGUCUUUAUGCUGGUCCCCUUUUCUCAGCUCAUCCCUAAUUGGUUAGAUGCGAGGGGACCGUUGC